CAUACACCUAUGCGCACUUAAAUAGACCCACCUGACCGUAUGUCACCUAUUCUCUCCUUCUCUCAGGUUAUUAAAAUUGUUCGAUGCCGACAUUCUAAAAGCCACUUAAGGGAAGAAAAGUAAAUCACAAAAAUCUAGAAAAGAAAACUUAAUGAAAAAUUAUGGAUAGAAGAAAAAAAAUAGAAAAGAAAAUUGUUCAAUAAUAUUAAAUAUUCCUAGACAUUAACUUAGAAAUAGAAGAAGAAAAACAUGAAAUUUAUGCGUAGUUAAUAAUAGAUUCUAAAGGGUUGCAUGAUCGGUCUCAUUGUGUCCAUGGAAGGGUAUUGGUAAAAUACCUCUUCAUAACGCUUCUUGUUAUUUUGCAUAUUCCUACAUUUCUUUAACAGUUAGAACGUGAAAUUGGGCCCAUCGACACCAACAGCUGCUUAAAAGUCUGUAAGUAGACACACAUAAACACACAUACACUCCGGGUCAGGAGAAUAGCGUCUACACAGUGAGACAGGCAUGCUUAACCAUAUAUAAGAUGAAUUACUAUUAACUAUAAUCACUACAAUUAUGCCAUUUAAUUCAUUUAAUUAAUUAAUUCUUACUUUAUAUUUUGAUUAUAUUAUUUUUAUUCAUAUUUGAUCAUUCUCUUGAAUUCCUAUUAUUAAAUUAGUCCCACAUAUAUAUACCCAUGCAGUAAAAAUAGUUUUAAGGGUUAGGGUAGAAAUAAUGGGGGUUACAAACAACCUGAAGUCAUACAAGUCAAAGUAAAAUUAUAACGAUUUAACAUGAAUUUCUAAUCUGAUUUUUGGGAGGGGUUCCUAAGGCACAUAGGCAGCAGC
rnacentral:lncRNA from 1 species